rnacentral:pre_miRNA from 1 species
AAAAAGACAAACCAUGGGUUUACGUGUCCAACGUUUGACCGUCCGUCUUAUUUGAAAAAAUUAAAAAGACAAGUCACGCAUUAAGUAUUAAUCAUAUUUUAUUAUCUAACAAUAAUAAAAAUACUAAUUAUAAAAAAAUUUCAUAUAAGACGGACAGUCAAACGUUGGACACGGAAACCCAGGGUUUGCCUUUUU